GACGAACGCUGGCGGCGUGCCUAAUACAUGCAAGUAGAACGCUGAAGGAGGAGCUUGCUUCUCUGGAUGAGUUGCGAACGGGUGAGUAACGCGUAGGUAACCUGCCUGGUAGCGGGGGAAACUAUUGGAAACGAUAGCUAAUACCGCAUAAUAGUAGAUGUUGCAUGACAUUUGCUUAAAAGGUGCAAUUGCAUCACUACCAGAUGGACCUGCGUUGUAUUAGCUAGUUGGUGAGGUAACGGCUCACCAAGGCGACGAUACAUAGCCGACCUGAGAGGGUGAUCGGCCACACUGGGACUGAGACACGGCCCAGACUCCUACGGGAGGCAGCAGUAGGGAAUCUUCGGCAAUGGACGGAAGUCUGACCGAGCAACGCCGCGUGAGUGAAGAAGGUUUUCGGAUCGUAAAGCUCUGUUGUAAGAGAAGAACGAGUGUGAGAGUGGAAAGUUCACACUGUGACGGUAGCUUACCAGAAAGGGACGGCUAACUACGUG
rnacentral:rRNA from 1 species